CAGUCGCCGCGGUAAUACGGAGGGUGCAAGCGUUAAUCGGAAUUACUGGGCGUAAAGCGCACGCAGGCGGUUUGUUAAGUCAGAUGUGAAAUCCCCGAGCUCAACUUGGGAACCGCAUUUGAGACUGGCAAGCUAGAGUCUUGUAGAGGGGGGGUAGAAUUCCAGGUGUAGCGGUGAAAUGCGUAGAGAUCUGGAGGAAUACCGGUGGCGAAGGCGGCCCCCUGGACAAAGACUGACGCUCAGGUGCGAAAGCGUGGGGAGCAAACAGGAUUAGAUACCCGCGUAGUCCCUGUCUCUUAUA
rnacentral:rRNA from 1 species